rnacentral:rRNA from 1 species
GACGAACGCUGGCGGCGUGCUUAACACAUGCAAGUCGAACGGAAAGGCCCUGCUUGCAGGGUACUCGAGUGGCGAACGGGUGAGUAACACGUGGGUGAUCUGCCCUGCACUUCGGGAUAAGCCUGGGAAACUGGGUCUAAUACCGGAUAGGAGCCAUUUUUAGUGUGAUGGUUGGAAAGUUUUUCCGGUGUAGGAUGAGCUCGCGGCCUAUCAGCUUGUUGGUGGGGUAAUGGCCUACCAAGGCGGCGACGGGUAGCCGGCCUGAGAGGGUGGACGGCCACAUUGGGACUGAGAUACGGCCCAGACUCCUACGGGAGGCAGCAGUGGGGAAUAUUGCACAAUGGGCGCAAGCCUGAUGCAGCGACGCCGCGUGGGGGAUGACGGCCUUCGGGUUGUAAACUCCUUUCGCUAGGGACGAAGCUUUUUGUGACGGUACCUAGAUAAGAAGCACCGGCUAACUACGUG